GUGAGGUCACGACUAUUCAGUCACUGGUUGGUCUGCCAGAUGACAGCAGAUUCAUGUGCAAGCCCAGCAGAGGUCAGCCAAGCUGACUCAAACCAGAGGAACAAGCUGAUCACAGAAAUCAGGAGCAGAAUGAAUACUUGCAGGUGUAUUCUACCAAGGGAGGACACCAAAUGCCACCCAAGAUGAAUGGAACAGAAGGGGAUGGAACCAUGGAUGAGGCUGACAGGGAACCAAGGAGGGCAAAGAACAAGCCUGUGUCAACGAAAGACCAAAUGAGACACCCUCAAGGAGGAGACGUGGGAGUUGCCUUCAUUGGAUAG
rnacentral:lncRNA from 1 species